rnacentral:rRNA from 1 species
UUUAUAUACCACCAUCUUUUAGGAUUAAUAUAAAUAUUCUUUCCUUAAUAGAAACUUCUCAUAAGUUAGGUAAAGGUGUAGACUAUAUAAAAGAUAAGAUGGGUUACAUUAAGAAAUACUAAAGGAUAAUCAUUCAAAUAUUUUUGGAAAAAGGAUUUAUUAGUAAUAUUAAAAGAUUAAUUAUAAAUGAAAUUGACAAAUAUGUG